GCCGGUGAGUCGGCGCGGCCGGCCUGAGCCAGGCUGAGGCGCUGGGGAGCGCGGGCCUGGGCGCUGCCCCGGGAGAGCCCGAUCACUCAAUACUUCAUAAGCUUCUGCGACCUCUUUAAAUUUUUCCUCUGCCUGAGGAGAUUUGUUCUUGUCCGGAUGAAAUUUGAGGGCUUGUUUUCGAACUUCCCCAACCAAGGAUGGAACCAUGCCCCCCGGAAGUCUUAACUGGACCACCAGGGAAGUCCCUAAAAUGAUUUAUUUUAAAUUUAAAUCAGUACCUAACCUUAACUAUGAAAUAUCUUUAUAACAUGUUGAAUCUGUGAAGGCAUAAAUAAUUAAACCUCUGCUACUGUGGAGACUAAAA